AUUUGAUAGUCAAUAACUCCCCGUGUAAGACAAAUACUUGAACUGUUUAAUAAUGCUCGGUCGCCUUCGCUGAUUACACUAGCUAUAGAUGGGGGUAAUGUAAGAUAUAAAUACCUGUAUAUAGUAACCGACCCAACAGGGAAUUAUUUACCACCAGGCAAACAUGUCAGGCAGAAGCAACCGUGGGUUGUCCGCCAUUGCGCGCGUGAAGAUGGGCGCCGUUCUGAGCAAUUAAAAAUCUAAACACAAUCAGCUGUGUAGUGCAAAUUUAACAUGGAAGGCCAAAUGUCACAUGGCUCCAAUUCGUCCAAGUUGGAAAGUCCGG